rnacentral:tRNA from 1 species
GUGGCCAUAGCUCAACGGCAGAGCGCCUCCCUGUGGAGGAGGAUGUUGUGGGUUCAAAUCCCAUUGGCCACCCCA